UACAGAGGUCUCAAGCGUUGUUCGGAUUCAUUGGGCGUAAAGGGUGCGUAGGCGGCGGGGCAAGUCUGAUGUGAAAUCCUGGGGCUCAACCUCAGAACUGCAUUGGAUACUGCCUUGCUAGAGUACUGGAGAGGGAACUGGAAUUUACGGUGUAGCAGUGAAAUGCGUAGAGAUCGUAAGGAAGGCCGGUGGCGAAGGCGAGUUCCUGGACAGUGACUGACGCUGAGGCACGAAGGCCAGGGGAGCAAACGGG
rnacentral:rRNA from 1 species